rnacentral:rRNA from 1 species
UACAGAGGGGGGCAAGCGUUGUUCGGAAUUACUGGGCGUAAAGGGCGCGUAGGCGGCCUUCUAAGUCGAACGUGAAAUCCCCGGGCUCAACCCGGGAACUGCGUCCGAUACUGGAUGGCUUGAGUUUGGGAGAGGGAUGCGGAAUUCCAGGUGUAGCGGUGAAAUGCGUAGAUAUCUGGAGGAACACCGGUGGCGAAGGCG